rnacentral:rRNA from 1 species
CCUACGGGUGGCAGCAGUGAGGAAUAUUGGUCAAUGGGCGCAAGCCUGAACCAGCCAAGUCGCGUGAGGGAUGACGGUCCUAUGGAUUGUAAACCUCUUUUGUCGGGGAGCAAGGCCCGCCACGUGUGGCGGGAAGGAGAGUACCCGAAGAAAAAGCAUCGGCUAACUCCGUGCCAGCAGCCGCGGUAAUACGGAGGAUGCGAGCGUUAUCCGGAUUUAUUGGGUUUAAAGGGUGCGUAGGCGGAAGGUUAAGUCAGCGGUCAAAUGUCGGUGCUCAACACCGGCCUGCCGUUGAAACUGUUUUUCUUGAGUACUGGAGAGGCAGACGGAAUUCCUAGUGUAGCGGUGAAAUGCGUAGAUAUUAGGAGGAACACCAGUGGCGAAGGCGGUCUGCUGGACAGCAACUGACGCUGAGGCGCGAAAGCGUGGGGAGCAAACAGGAUUAGAUACCCGGGUAGUC